rnacentral:rRNA from 1 species
AAACUUUGCAAUGUGCGCAAGCACGACAAGGUUAAUCCGAGUGUUUCCUGCUAAAGGAAUCUUUUGCUAGUCCUAAAAACACUAGCGAAUAAGGGGUGGGCAAGUUCUGGUGUCAGCCGCCGCGGUAAAACCAGCACCUCAAGUGGUCAGGAGGAUUAUUGGGCCUAAAGCAUCCGUAGCCUGCUUUGUAAGUUUCCGGUUAAAUCCAUUAGCUCAACUAAUGGGCCGCCGGAAAAACUGCAAAGCUAGGGAGUGGGAGAGGUAGACGGUACUCGGUAGGAAGGGGUAAAAUCCUUUGAUCUAUCGAUGACCACCUGUGGCGAAGGCGGUCUACCAGAACACGUUCGACGGUGAGGGAUGAAAGCUGGGGGAGCAAACCGG